GACGAACGCUGGCGGCGUGCUUAACACAUGCAAGUCGAACGGGAUCCGGGCUUUCGGGUUUGGUGAGAGUGGCGAACGGGUGAGUAACACGUGAGUAACCUGCCCCCUUCUUUGGGAUAACGUCGGGAAAUCGGCGCUAAUACUGGAUAUUCUUGCUGCAUCGCAUGGUGUGGUUUGGAAAGGGUUUCUGGUGGGGGAUGGGCUCGCGGCCUAUCAGCUUGUUGGUGGGGUGAUGGCCUACCAAGGCUUUGACGGGUAGCCGGCCUGAGAGGGUGUCCGGCCCCACUGGGACUGAGACACGGCCCAGACUCCUACGGGAGGCAGCAGUGGGGAGUAUUGCACACUGGGCGCAAGCCUGAUGCAGCGACGCCGCGUGAGGGAUGACGGCCUUCGGGUUGUAAACCCCUUUCAGUAUGGAACAAGGAUCCUUCUUUUGGGGGGUUUGAGGGUACGUGCAGAAGAAGCGCCGGCUAACUACGUG
rnacentral:rRNA from 1 species